GUUUCUUUAGUGUAGUCUGGUUUAGCACGACUGAUUUCCAAUCAGUUAACGUGGGUUCAAAGCCCACAAGAAACUUA
rnacentral:tRNA from 1 species